AACCUCUUAGGGUCGCACCUGGAGAGUUUCCAGUACUCUACCAGUAUCAACUACAGGAGGAAGAAUCAAGCAGAGACAUACCCUUUCCAUUUCCUAGCUUGGCCAGUGGCUAGUGGGUGGAAGGCAAUCUGCUACAAGU